rnacentral:rRNA from 1 species
UAUAGUGGACAUACAACCCUGAGAUUCCCUGAUCUUGUCUGAACUCAGAAGCCAAGCGAAGUUGGGCCUGGUUAGUGCUUGGAUGGGAGACCUCUGGAAAUACCAGGUGCCACAGUGG